CGGCGCCGUUGCAGCAGCAGUAGCUGCGGAUCCUCUUCUCGUUCCCGAAGCGGCCAGCCCUCCGAGUCACCUCUGAGUACGACAGUGAUAGCUCUGUCUUCCUCCAAAAGAUCUUGUGCAAGCUCCUCGAUGGCCUCGCCAAGCUCAAGUUCUCCUUCCGCAACAACCAAAAGGGUGAGGUCAUGGAACCCCAGCUGGCCUUUGUCUCCAAGCACCUCUCCCUCCAUUAUGACAUCGAAAAAGUGAAAGAACCCGGAAUCGUGUUGAGCGUCGUUGAAGAAGAGCCAAACCUUCAAUGAUGAAGAAGAAGAUCUGGACGUUCAACGGAGAAGAAGAUGCACAUCGUUGAAGAAGAGCCGAAGAAGAAAGAUGAGAGAAAGAGUGAUGGGAGAGAGCGGUGUACCUCAAAGAGAGGAAAAGUGAAAAGUCAGAGAGAAAAAAUGAGAAGGGAAAGUGUUUUCACCUUAUCAGGCGGAGGAAUUCAUUUUCCUAAAAUAAUACAUAAUAUUUGUGUUGACCAGAAAGUAUUUUCCAUUGAUCAAAUCUUUUUUAGAGAACCAAACAGCUGAAAAUCCGGAAAACACUUUUUGGUAAAAUACUUUCAGUGAAACGAACACAUCCUAAGUAUUUAUACACUUUAAAACCAAAUUUUCAUUCAGUUACUGACACCAUGACUAAAGAUCACCCAUCGGCUUCAGAGGAGUCAAUCCUGCAAGAAAAUUUGUCAAUCCAAGAACCUACCUUGGACCCUCCUACUAACGUUGUGAACCAAGAGUAACAAAUUCAAGCCCAACCUAACUAGGGAUAGCCUAUUCUAGGCCAACCUAAUUUUGGACAAUUUAUUGGGGGCCAACCCGUCAUAGCCAGUCCAUCUAGUGGCUACCCAUCCACAUGGGACCCAACCCAUGUUUUAUAGGGCAGCACAAACAAGCCCAUGGCCAACCAACCAAGGCCACAGAGAGUAACAUAGUGGAGGCCCAUCGAUUGCAUUCAGGGCAAGCUUAGCCACUAGGUCAAAUUUUUUUCCAUACUGGUUAUACGGCCGGGUCGGAUACUAUGGGUGCGGGAACGAAUCCCUACCCGAUUCCCCAACCCGAUUUCCUUCCAUACCAGAUUGUUGUCACCAACGGCCGGCCAGAGCUCGGCGACCCACUCUACACAUUGAGCACUAACGGAACAAAACUAAAUCCCAUUACCCAAUAGUAAUCUAGUUUGACAACUACUCCACUUGGUCGCGAGAGUUCCGGCGUGCACUAGUAACAAAGGAUGAAGACGGAUUUCUUGACGAAACGAUUCCGAUUCCGUUCGAUGAGUGUUUGGAGUGAAUUUGGAGGAAAUGCAACCAACUUGUCCAAACGUGGAUCAGCAACUGCAAUACCCCUAAAGUCGUGACUGAACUUCCCCCAACUGAGGACUCGUAGAAAAUAUGGGAAGAUAUUAAAUAAAUGUAUAAAAAAUAGAUCGAGUAACAAUUUUUUCCUUAACUCAGCAAAUCUCAGAGUUGAGACAGAGCAACACGACCGUUGUUGCCGUUUACAACAAUUUUCGGCCCUAUGAAACGAGUUAGAGGUAGCCAAGGAAAAGUUUGAAUGGCCAAAGCUGAUUUUGCAACAGUACAAAACCAUAGGGGAGAGAGAGAAAGUGAUGAGGUUUCUCCUCAUUUUGAAAGGGUCUUACCUCUUGUUUUGAUCAUAGAUCUUGACCAUGAAGCCCAUGUUGAUGCUUGGCCAAAUCUACCAGCUUGUUGUUAAGGAGGAAAGCCAACAUCUCGUCGCAUUACACUACAACAAGGUUGGAGAAAGAGUGGUUUUGGUGGCGGUGACCCAUUUCGGUGCUUCACCAAGAAGAAAAGC
rnacentral:lncRNA from 1 species